rnacentral:rRNA from 1 species
UACGAAGGGGGCUAGCGUUGCUCGGAAUCACUGGGCGUAAAGCGCACGUAGGCGGCUUUUUAAGUCAGGGGUGAAAUCCUGGAGCUCAACUCCAGAACUGCCUUUGAUACUGGGAAGCUCGAGUCCGGGAGAGGUGAGUGGAACUCCGAGUGUAGAGGUGAAAUUCGUAGAUAUCGGGAAGAACACCCGUGGCGAAGGCGGCUCUCUGGGACGGUACUGACGCUGAGACGCGAAAGCGUGGGGAGCGAACAGG